GGUUCCGUGGCCCAAUGGUAGGGCGCUAGAUUUCGGUGAAAAUGAAAGCCUCUAGAGAUUGUCGGUUCGAGUCCGGCCGGGAUCG